CAAAUACUCCCUCCGUCAGGAAAUACUUGUCAUCAAAAUGGAUAAAAGGAAAUGUAUCUAGACAUAGUUUAGUUUUAGAUACAUCUAUUUUUAUCCAUUUUGAUGACAAGUAUUUUCGGACGGAGGGAGUAGAAA
rnacentral:pre_miRNA from 1 species